AUUGAAACUGGGACUAGAUUUGUUAUUUUUCAGCACAAACAAAAUGUUAUUUAUAUACUCUUUUUUUAGGUCUAAAAAGUAGUGAACGCUGAAGAAAAGAGUACAGAAACAUAAAAACAAUAAUGUCCUGUUAGAUAUAUACAUGUGGCCUACAUAGAUCUGUUAUAUAGAAAGGAGGAAAGUGAUUCAGUCCCUGUGAUCAUUGUCCAGUCAAUGUGAUCAUUGUCCAGUCCAUUUAAUCCUUGCCCAGUUGAGUUGCUAGUAUAGUAUUUAUUUGAUCCCUGUCCAGUCAAGUUGAUCCUUGUCCAGUCGAUUUGAUCCUUGUCCAGUCAAGUUG